GGCUCUUGCUCCAGCGACUAGACUCCUUUCCUGACUGUCGGUGUUCUCUGACCGAGCGCAAAGCAUUGAGAGCAUGGAAGAGGAGAGCCAUGGUCCCGAAAAUGUCUACACUGUUUUAGGAGAGGAUGCAAGAGGCGACACUGAUCUGGCACCCAGGACACUCAACAUUAGAAAACCACAAGCCAAUCUCUCUCUCUCUCUCUCUCUCUCUCUCUCUCUCUCUCUCUCUCUCUCUCUCUCUCUCUCCUUCCUCCUUCCCUCUCUUUCUCUCUCUGGCCACUGCUGCUGUGCAGGAUCCCGGACCAUGAACAAAGGUGGGCUUCCAGAAUCAUCUCCUCCCCCGGCUUGCUUUGCAGCCCGCACGCUUCCAUUGUCGUGCGCA